rnacentral:rRNA from 1 species
UACGAAGGGGGCUAGCGUUGCUCGGAAUCACUGGGCGUAAAGGGUGCGUAGGCGGGUCUUUAAGUCAGGGGUGAAAUCCUGGAGCUCAACUCCAGAACUGCCUUUGAUACUGAAGAUCUUGAGUUCUGGAGAGGUGAGUGGAACUGCGAGUGUAGAGGUGAAAUUCGUAGAUAUUCGCAAGAACACCAGUGGCGAAGGCGGCUCACUGGCCCGAUACUGGCGCUGAGGCACGAAAGCGUGGGGAGCAAACAGG